CCCCGCGUGAUGAAAUUGGUAGACGUGCCAGACUCAAAAUCUGGUGGAUGAAUAAUCCGUGCUGGUUCGAGCCCGGCCGCGGGGACCA
rnacentral:tRNA from 14 species